rnacentral:misc_RNA from 1 species
AGGUAAUGUGUAGUGCGAGUAGUCAACUUUCUUAUAUCCUCUUCACGUUUAGAGUUUUUU